AAUUUAUUGUGUGAAUAUUCUUUGCACUAAUACACAUCCAAAUUAUGAAUCAAAACACUUUCCAAACUUCGGAACAAGGGUCUAGGUUGGUAAACGCCAUCAUAACGAUGGCGUUGGUAGCUUCAAACUGUAAGAGUAUACCCAGUUACCAGUUGGAAAGUGCCCGCUCGUAUCUCGAAACAGUUCGCACUGAAGCUAUAAUGAAAGGUGAAAAGCUGCCAAACGUCGAAAGGAUGCAAUUGCUUCUGAAUUCGCAUAAAGAGAUACAAAACAGCGUUGCAAACCAGGGCGAACACACAUACAACACACAAAAUCUACACCAAUAGCAAACGGUUAGAGACGAUAUGGUGGAGAUCGGGUAACGGGUACGGAUGCGUGGUACGAGGGAGGCUGCUGUGUUAAUCAUCGAUAAACACACUGCACAACAAUAGUCACCUCAUUCGGAACCAGUGGUGGAUGAUGCUCCAACCCACUGAGCUUAACCUGGCAUGAUGAAUGGGAAAACCGGAUGUCAAACGACGCGUUAUCGGUUAUCGUAUAGAAAAAGCAAGAAUAGGUCAAAUGAGAAAUGGUCCGAAAAGAAAGAAGCUUUUACAAUCCCCGUCUGCUGUCUUACCAUGAUGUUCUGCUCGAUAAUGCUGGGAUCGUCACAGAUUGAUUCGACGAAAAACAGCUUGUAUCCCAUCUUCUUCACAACAAUUUCGCGUAUCAUUUGACGGCGAUCUCGGGUGGAAUUCGUAGCAUCAAACACCUAAAAGAACCAACAAAAAUCAUUAGCAGUGUGUCAACCGACGUGAAACAUGAUGUAGGUAUUCGGUUAAGAGAAAACAUUCGUUUGUAAAUUAAUUGUUAUGAUCGAUCCACUUGUAAAUGUUUUCUACAGCAAACAAACAUAAUCUCUCAGCCUCGACGGUUCUAUGUAUGUUUAGCAGUGCUAAAUAAACAACACCACAAUCUACCGAGA